rnacentral:rRNA from 1 species
GACAGAGGGUGCGAGCGUUAAUCGGACUUACUGGGCGUAAAGGGUGCGUAGGUGGUUGAGUAAGAGAGAUGUGAAAGACCCAUGCUUAACAUGGGGGUGUCAUUUCAGACUGCUUGACUAGAGUUCACGAGAGGGAAGGGGAAUUUCCGGUGUAGCGGUGAAAUGCGUAGAUAUCGGAAAGAACACCGGUGGCGAAGGCGCCUUUCUGGCGUGAAACUGACACUGAGGCACGAAAGCGUGGGUAGCGAACAGG